rnacentral:rRNA from 1 species
UAAUACAGAGGUGGCAAGCGUUGUUCGGAUUUAUUGGGCGUAAAGGGCGCGUAGGCGGUCUUUUAAGUCAAUCGUUUAAUUUCUUGGCUUAACCAAGAGUCGGCGAUCGAAACUGGCAGACUUGAGACCGGUAGAGGCUAGCGGAAUUCCUGGUGUAGCGGUGGAAUGCGUAGAUAUCAGGAAGAACACCUGUGGCGAAGGCGGCUAGCUGGGCCGGAUCUGACACUGAACUGCGAAAGCGUGGGGAGCAAACAGGAUUAGAUACCCUGGUAGUCCACGCCGUAAACGAUGGGCACUAGAUGCCGGGCAUAUAGACAUGUUCGGUGUCGCAGCUAACGCAUUAAGUGCCCCGCCUGGGGAGUACGGUCGCAAGGCUG